UAUAGGAGGAGAGAGAGAGAGGGAGAGAGAGAGAGAGAGAGGUUGACAAUUGAAGUGUGAUACAUAUAGCCUGCAGUGCAACUGACUGGUACCGGAUGGUACCAAUGCGCGGAUCUGCAACGAUUCUUGCUGGUGAGCAUUUCCUCUGGGAUAGUGGUAGUUGGUUACCGUGCUGUCAAUUCAUUGAAAUUUAACUUUCUCUCUCUCUCCCUCUCUCUCUCUCUCUCUCUCUCUCUCUUUAUUUUUCUGUUU